rnacentral:piRNA from 1 species
UGAGACGUUACAUGAUCUAAGGUUUUGG